UCCGGUUUGUCACCGGCAGUCCCAUUAGAGUGCCCAACUGAAUGUGGCAACUAAUGGCAAGGGUUGCGCUCGUUGCGGGACUUAACCCAACAUCUCACGACACGAGCUGACGACAGCCAUGCAGCACCUGUGCACGGACUCCGAAGAGGGACCGAUGUUUCCACCGGCUUUCCCGUGCAUGUCAAGCCCAGGUAAGGUUCUUCGCGUUGCAUCGAAUUAAACCACAUACUCCACCGCUUGUGCGGGCCCCCGUCAAUUCCUUUGAGUUUCAGUCUUGCGACCGUACUCCCCAGGCGGCGAACUUAACGCGUUAGCUGCGCCACCGAAACUCCAUGAGCCCCGACAGCUAGUCAUCAUCGUUUACGGCGUGGACUAC
rnacentral:misc_RNA from 1 species